GUGCUAACACAUCGGCUAUAGCAGCCGAAUCAUCCUCAUAGCCGAUCUUGUUGAUCGGCUCAUCCUGUCGAGGCUUAUGCCAAGUCUCUAUUCUCGACUUUUGGGACUCCAUUUUAACCAUCUAGGUGGCUCUUCAUCAGCCACCAUAGCAUUGAUAUCUUUAGAGAGAAUUAAUUGAAUCCCCUCCUCCGUUACUCUUACAAACGAAAUCUGAUCUGGAUCAGCAUCAGCCCAAUUGGUGUGGCCGAGGUCCUCCAUGUUGACAUCUAUCAU
rnacentral:lncRNA from 1 species